rnacentral:lncRNA from 1 species
GGGGGACCCCCGCGGGGCGGACCGCGGGGAGGGCAGUCCCACCUGCGCGCUCCGCUCGGCGCGUGCACCCGGCUAAGUCGUCUGCCCUGGCGAGCUCAUCCCGGGGCUGAACCUCGGGCAGUGCCCGCGCCGCCCUCCGGGUCUCGUUCCCGUGUCCCCGGGAGGAGGAAGAGCGGCCCGGAGCCCCGCCUAGCUCUUCCCCGCCGGAGCUCUGCACACCGAACCGCGCGCGCGGAGAGGGAGCAGCCCGGAGCGCGUCUGGCCGGCGAGCGGCGCAGCCUGGCGCGGAGCCUUCGCGCCCGCCGCGCGCGCCCCUGCGCGGCCCACCUGUCCCGCGCGCAGCCGGCCACCGCUGCCACUCACCGGCCGCCGGGCCUCUCCCCUUGGCUGUUCUUUAUUCUUUCAUUUCUUCCUCGCUCAUUUGCCCGCUUUGGCUUUCCUCUCUGUGGACAGCUUGGUUUUGCCACUGUGGAAAAAACGUAAAUUAAAUUGUGCAGUUUGGAAUCGGCAGGCUGGGUUCGCUCCGGCUGCUUCAGGAAGACCGGGUGCUUCUGCCUUUGCCUGCCCCACUCCUGUCACCCCGGAUGGACAAGUAGCCACCUUGCCUGUGGGCUGCAGCUGGGCGGCCACCACCUGUCCAGUGCUGAUGUCCCAUGGCCAUGUCUGCCCUCUUCGCCUGUGGCUUCCCUGUCUUUAUGAGGCCUCUGCCUUAAAUCCCACAGUUGGCACAGUGCCCCCAAAAGGAGCACAGAGGCAGGCAAGGGUCGCAGUGACACCCCACAGGGAUGUGGAAGAUGCCACUCCACAGUUGCCUGGGGUUGGAAGGUCUGUCUAG